UGUCAUCCACUUCCGUGUUGACGCCGUCCCUGCAUGAACUGUGCGCUUCACCACCGACCCAUGAUCUAUCCUUAUCCCCUCUUACCAGUUCAUCCUCACCACCGUUCCGAUCUCCGAUCGGUUCCGGCUGCAGCCUCCACCACAUUAGACCUUAGAUCUAGACUCCCCACAAUCUCCCCAGUUCACCUGCAGUUUUGUGCAGCCGCCAUCUGAAACACAGCCGCUACCUAACCCUAGAUUGCUAACCAUUUGAUAGCGCAGAAGCUCCCGCAGCCGCUGGGCCGCUUUGACCGCCUUCCUUGAGUUUUCAUGCAUCGGAGCCAGGUCCAUGACCCAUGUUGAGGUCUUUACCAACGUUCAUUCUGCUGGGUGGGGAGCGAAGUCCUUGGCGUUUACAGGUUUUGGUGAGCUUCGUCUCUUUCUCGUCUCUGUCCUGUGCCCAUGCUGGUGUAUUUUUGCAGUGAUGCGUUUGAUGUUUCUUUUACUGCGGUGGAUGUACACAGGAAAUGAACAAAAUUGAGCCUGGAACCUGGAUGAUUCGUCGAGGACGAGCUGACACCUAUGACUAGCAGGGAUCGGAACCUAGAAAGCAAUUAUGUGGCGAGGUCUGGUGGGUGAGGAUUUGCAAGGUGCACUCAUUGUUUCCUUUUACUGCAGGUGGCUGUUGUCACGAACACCACACAAGUGGGGAAUAAGCACUUCGUCAGGGAAAACGUACAGCCAUACAGAACGUUAUAUGAUUGGUAUGAAGACAUGGAUGCUGAAAACGAUCAGAUUUCCAUAUGAUUUUCUGGACAAAAAUUAUGUUGAGUACAAGACCAGAAGACCAGGAAGGACUUACAAUAUUUGGAUAUAAGCUAUGAACAUAUCUGAAGUCAGAAUAUUAGUAGAAUUAUAUAUAGGAGUCGUUAGAUUGUCAUAUUUUGAAUCAAGAUUGUAAGCUGUGUGUACUCUUCGGAUAAGUCUCAUGUAUUUUGAUAGUAGUUCGAAUAAUAUAAAUUGAAUCGUUUUGUCACCUAAUUCAUUUUUUAUUCUA